UUAAAACUGUGUAAUUCAAAUGGAUGGAAAUUUUAUAUGCAAUUUUUCAUUUUAUAGCCAGAUUGAUACGUAAACCACUGUACAUUUAAUAUUUUAGAUAUUUGAGAUUCAAAUAACUUUUUAUCCUCUAGUUCUUUUGAAAACCAGUUAGUUCUAUUAAAAGACGAAAUACUUGUCUGAUCCUGUUAUGAAACAUGUAGUCAAGAAGUCUAUACAGCCAACAUUGUUCUCGAUAAGAACUCAAAAUCAAAACUACACUGUCAUAAUGAACAAAAUGUAAAUAACGAGCGAGUAUAUUACAAAUCCAACUGUCAAACCGAAUUUUUGCCUUACCCCAAAUCACUGCUGUAAACAUAAUAAUCAGCCUAUUUGACAGCUGUUGGGAUGGAUUUUGCGUGAAACUGCUUACUUCUGUGUUUAUGUCUAUCUAUAGAUAAAUGAAAGAAGUUCAGGCUACUAUAUGCAGUGGAAGGUGUCGUAAUAGCUUGAAUCCACGACAAAUGAACAUUGAAACUAAACAAGUUUACAAGCAAAAAGCGAAAGCGACAGAACUCGUAAUAAAACACGAAUCAACAUAAUUAGCAAAGCAGUACAUUUGCAGCAUCGACUAAGUUCAGAAAACAAUCUUUAUGCUGGUAACAAUCUCUAAACCAGUUUUGAGUAUUUGCCUAUAAAUAUCUUUACUUACUGUAUGCUAUGUUCCAGACAGAUCAUAUAUUGGAUUUUUCCCAACUCCUUCUAGGAAAUAACGCCACUCAAAGUCAGCCAUUUUGCGUGAACUCGGGGUACAUCGAUCAACCCCGCCCUCAGCGAGAUUUUGAGUAAAUUCCAAGAUGUCGGCGUGUCCUCCAAUGAAUAUGAACGUAAAAACAAACUUUAACACUAGACAUUACGUUCAUGUAAUGUUACCUUCAUUUUUGCUUUUCGACAGCUGUUUUCAAAGUGCUUUUAUCAUUUUUGUUUUUACAGACCUCUCUGAAGGCAAAAGUCAUGUGGAAAGACUGAGAAUUGCUGAUAAAAAAACAGAAAAAAAUGAAUACGAAGAGUUGUAGUUUCCACGAUUAUCUGAUAUGAAUAGCAAUCAUUGCCAAUAUCUUGUAACAUUAUUUUAAAACAAUCGAUUUCAACAAGUUAAAACAACAGUUAUAGUCUAGAAGUUACUUACAAGACAUAUUUUCCAUCUUUCUUGCAUUAUUGGGUGUUUUGAUGUAGUUAGUGACAUUCGCACUGAUCAGAUUCAUCAACAUCCACAACUCGCGUCACGUAACGAUCAAAACGAUGUUCCGCCAUAAGUAACUUGUAGUUUUAUGCUUCAACCGCUAGAGGGCCAAAAGAACUAUUUACUUGGUCUGAAAACUAAAUUAAUAAGAGUGCUUUUGUUUUACAGAUGCUUUGGCAAGAAUUAUGAAAUGCAUUUCUCAGUGGAUCUGGGGCAGGAAUUAUAACUUCCUCUAGAAAAUUUGCCAUGUGCUGUAACUGAAAUACUACAUCCAAAAUAAUCGAUAUUGAAUCAAAUUGAAAUCGUAAUCAAAUCGAAUCGAAAGCAUGUGAAUAGUAAUCGAAUCGAAUCAUGAAAAUUUUGUCAAUACCCAGCCCUAGUUAGUGACAUUCGCAUUGAUCAGAUUCAUCCGCUCAGGAGCUGAAGCACAACUCGCGUCACGUAACGAUCAAAACAAUGUUCCGCCGUUAGUAACUUGUAGUUUUAUGCUUCAACUGCUAGAGGGCCAAAAGAACUAUUUACUUAAUUAAUAAGAGUGCAUUUGUUUUACAGAUGCUUGGAUGAGCAUUAUUAAUUGCAUGAAUCUGUGGGUCUGGGGCAGGAAUUAUAACUUCCUUCACGACAGGUGAAGCAGUGCCCUCCACUCUUCAGGAAACUAAGACGAGAGACUUUGAAGAUGCCGGACUGUUGCUGAACUCACCCUACUUCUCAGUGCUGAGAAAAGAGAGACACAUCGACCUCAUCAUUUCACUGGAUUUCAGUGAGGGUGAUCCUUUCUUGACGGUGAAGGAAGCUUCCAAGACGUGCAAGGAACUAAACAUCCCUUUCCCUGAGGUCAACAUUCUCAGUGGACACUCAGAGAAACCGAAGGACUUCUAUGUGUUCAAAGGCCAAAACACUCCAACCGUGAUCCACAUCCCUCUCUUUAAUGUGGUCAACUGUGGAG